UUUUAUGUGUUUGUCUCUCUUUUUGAAUAACAACUAUUUUAAAUUAAAUACAAAAGAGGAGUAGUCAUACUAGUAUCGGAUAACACAUGCACUAUCUUGCCACUACAAAUGACACAUGCAUGUGUCUAAUAGGAGCAUGUAUCAUAUGCAGUAUCUAUUUAUUUGUUUCUGCAUAUCAUAUGCAGUAUCUAUUUAUUUGUUUCUGCAUUCUUUAAAUACUGCAUCCCUUCAUCAUUUUACACGUAUCUUUUAAUUAUCCUGUCCCAUUUUUCUUCAAAAUAUUUUUAUAUAUGUGUUCACAAGAGAAAUGUCGAUUUAAUUUAUUUGGAAGUAAAGCCUCUGAUGAAGAUCUAAUUCUGGAAUACAGAAACGUUCAAGCAUCUUAAUAGAAGUUUGAUCCGUUGGUUAAAUGAAGAUAGUGUAGAGGGUGAAAAUAUCAGAAGAAUUCAAAGGCUCGUAACAUGUUCAACGACAAUGGAGAAAGUCGCUUCUGGGACAAUGUUAAAACUGACAGAGAUGUUUGCAUUAUGAUGCACAGUUCCAAGGAAAUUGUCAUGAUGGUUGUAAUCACAUAGUUACGUUUUUUAGUCCUUAUAUUUGUUUGUCUUAUUGUUUAAUUGUUGUUUAAAUUAUUGUUUAGUUGUUGUUUAAAUUGUUGUAAUUGAAUGUUAUGUUAUUUAUGAAAUGAACGUUGUUUUCAAUAUAAAGUAAAAUGGUUACAUAUAAGUUUAAGUUGUUGUGCUUGGUCCAAC
rnacentral:lncRNA from 1 species